UUGUGGCCCGCGACGCGAGUGUCGGAAAUAAAAUGGCCCGCAGGUCGAAUUAGGUUGGGCAUCACUGGUGUAACAGAUACUGGUAUUGACUGCCAAAAAUAGGUGGAUGGUUGAAAUGCGUCCAGUUUAUUAGAAGUUUAAAAGGAGAGAAUGUUCCGGCAUAACUAGACAGUCACAGGUCGGUGUGUAAUACUAGUUAAAAGAUAUUUACACUAAUUAAUUAUUGCAUAGGCUAACCAACUAUAAGCCUGUAGAAUGAACGUUUUCAAUGAUAUGUUUUUGGAAAGUAAUAUUGUCUCCUAAAUUACGUGGCAUUGUUGUGUCCUAGUUGAGUUAGAGAGUAUGUUAGCUUUGGUAGAUUAUAUUGUGUAUUGUUUUUAGCGACGGUUAAAGGAGUGACAGUGACGUAGUCAGACAGACGAAUAACGCAGGAGAAUAGGCGAACAAGGAAGAACGAUGUGGCGAUAGCUUAGAACAUGGUUGAUUAGAAUUAGAGAUAUUUAAAUAACGACGGAUAAGUAGACAAGACAGGCAUCCCAAGUGUUAAUGAAUGCAUCAUUUAUAGUAGUAGAAAGUCUUGAGUACGUUCAUCUUAUUAAUUGUAAUGUUCUUUGGCUAAUGUACAAUAGUUGAUGAAAUAGUAGUGGAUUUGCAUAACACCCAAGAUACUAGCCAGAACAGCAUGUGUGGAUUCGGAGGAGUCUCUAUCUAAGGGGAGGAGGACCACCACUAGGGAGCAAAAUAUCGAUAUUUAAAAUUAAAAAAUCGAACUUUUUUUUAUUUCAUUAUUUGAAAGUUUAUCCAUUUAUCUACAAGUUUUGAACAUUGAAAUAUGUAAUUUUUAACUUUAAAUAUUGUUUUUAGUCAUUUUUCUAGGGCAUGUAUAAUGUUUAUUUCAUCUAAUUCCGAAUCUACAUGUAAAUAAUACCCUUGGUAACGCAUCGAAUACUUUUGAGUAGUCAUAUUCGACCUAGGCAUAUUUGGCAUCAAUGAAACCGUCGUUUCCUACACUUUCCUAAAAUAACCGUAUCUCCGAAAUAAUAUAAAUAGCGUUUCGGCUUUGAACGGAAACCCGUGGUCACCGAGAGUGUAAAAUAUAUUUAUUUAUAGAUUCUAGUAUCUUAUUAUUUCCGACAAAAUGAUUGGUCGGCAUUGGGCUUCCGCCCCUAUCGACAUUAGUUUGAACAUAAACAAAACAUGGUUGUUUACGUUUCAUUGAUGAUAUAGUUUUAGAUGCUCUACCUGUCGACUUAUUAUUCAACUUCUAAAUCUAGAUCUAGCAUGAAAACUAAAAAGAAUAGACCUUAGUCUAGAUUCCUCAUUCUAGAUCUAGACAUUAUAAGACUAUUAGCCGGCAGGCUAGGCUGAGAUGAGGCCCUAUCGAGUAUCGACAUCGCUAUUACUAUUAUUGAUAAUUUGAUUAUUCAUUCAUAUUCCCAUCAACUAGAUCUAGGUCUAGAUCUAAACAAAAACAUCCUUACCACAAGAUAACUGGUGCCUCUCAAUCAAGUAGGCCUAAAGCCUAUCAAAGCUUGCAAUUAUAUAAGAUAAGGACAAAUACACAUGUGAUCUAGAUCUAGCUGGAUUAUCAACAGUUUCACUACUACAAGAUCUGAUCUAGACUUAGACCUAGACUAGAUAAUAACUAAUACUAAUUUUCUUCUCUACAAGUUCUAGUCUAGUUACCACUUUGACAUUCACUUUGGAAACAAGACUCAAAUACCCAGGUUCUUCGGCAUUGAUGCAAUCAACUGAAAUUUUAUGGAAAAGAUCAGGGCAGAAGUUUACACAGAGAUAAACAACCUUGUCUGAUGGAAACACCAGGUUGUUUUUGAGAGUUUUAUUAACAGAUCUGAGCCCAGGUAUUGUCGUAAAACAGAACAAUUCGUCGGCCUUACAGGUUUCGAACUACUUGGUUCUCUCCGCAGCCAUGUUUUAUUCUGAAAUUCCUUAAAUAAGCCAACAUGUGAGAUAAAUGUUUGAAGCAAUGAAAAGAGCCUGAUGGGUAUGACUUUGUGGACAGCACACAUUUUAUUGAUGCAAACUUUGAUGAUAUAAUGAAAAAUCUGAAACCCUCAGCUAUUCCUACAAUAUUUCAGUGUCAUAAUGAUGCAGCUUCCUGGCCAGUUAAAAAGAAGGAAAAAUAAAGUCUUAAGGUGAAAGAAGAAAUUGUACAAUUCAAAGAGACUUCUGAUAUAUUAUAAAAAGAAAGUUCAAUGUUUAUGAGAGGAGUUAUAGAAAAGCCAACCUCACCUAAAACAGUUAUGAUGAUUUAUCUUUACAUCUGUUUGAGGAGCCUACAGGAAAUGCAAAUUAUACAGAUGAAAAAAUAUCCUUCACAAUAACAUUGCACUUUUACUGUCCUAAUGUGUAUGAGUUCCUUUCUACCACGUUUAACUUGCCUUCAACCAGAAAAUCAUGAUUGCCUUUAUAUGUGGACAAAUAAGCCUAUACAGUAUUUCCAAGAAUGAGAACUUUGCAGGGUAGAGUCAUUUGACUUACAAGCCUCUUAGAGACCACUGGGACAUUGUUCUGGGCUGCCUUUGGUAUGGGGAACUCUCAGGCACCAGCUAUUAAAGAAGAAACAAAUAGCAGUCAGGUUAAUGGUGACUCAGAGAUAAAAGACAGUGUGCUGCUGAAAGUCAUUGAGGUGAUUGGCUACGUUUUGUAUGGAGUUUACAUUCUUGAUGCUGUCGUGGUCCUGAUCAACUUGUUCAUUGCUAUGAUGAAUUUGAAGACAUUUAGAAUGUCCAAAAGAUUAGUCAGCUAAGGACCCUAAAAUGUUGGCCUGUUUACAAAUAUGAGAUCUUCCUUGACUACACAAGUACCUUACAAAAGAAGGCUACUCACUUGUGUUUGGAUGUCAGCUGUUUUGUCCCUGUGGCCCUUUUCAAGCAUGACAGAUACUAUUCUAAGCAGCUUUUUUCUAUGGAAAUUAUUCAACCACAGAAGCUGUGAGGGAUAUCUGAAAUCCAUUGCUCACUUGUCUAGAAAGACUUCCAUCGAUUGAGUGAUAAAAGAUUAAGUGUACACAACUUUUAGUAGUCACCACAUAACACUUAACAUUUUGAUGCUCAAGACAAUACUGUUCAGGAAUGGUUUAUUUUUCUUUAUGCUGAGAGUGUCCAAGAAAGAUAAGGUCAAAGGUUAAUUGGACAAACAAUAAACUUUGUCUUUGAAUCUGAAAUUGUAGAGAAAAAAAAACAACUUAGUGUUGUUGUUUUUUAAUGUACCAGGUACCUACUAUUCAUUUACUUUGACUGUUGACUUUAAGUUAGAAAUUAAGGAAAGAUUUCUUUGAGCUAUAUUUGUCAAUGACCAUAGGCAUUAAGAGAGUUGACACCUCAUUUUACUUUUCAACAAGAUGAUGUCUUAAAAAAAUUAAGAGCUUUUGAUGGAAUUCUGUGGUUGAAUAACAAGUAAAGUUAAUCACAGGAUUCCAUCAAAAUCAUUGCAAUUUGAACAUUGUUGGUAGUGUCAAUGUUAUUAAGUUUUUUAGUUCUUGGUGUUACUACAUUAUUCAUUUUCUAGUGACCAGGCAGUGUUUUAUACCAUGAAUGAAUAUCUGUUGUAAGAAGUUUAAGUUAUACAACUCAAUCAAUAAUAUCUUUGACAAUAAAAUAUUUUGAUAAAGUUUAUAUUUUUGGAACAGAAUAUGCUAAUGUGUUAAAUGUACAUUUUUCUUUUUUUUUUGGAAUAACAACUGAUAUUUAGUUUUAUCCCUUUGUGUCUUUCUACAGUAGAUGCACUGUCAUACUAAAAAGAAAUUUUAAAAAAUUAUAAUAACUUCUAAUCAAAUUGUCUCCCUUUUAAAAUCAAAUAUCUAAAUGAAUCAUGCUACUUUGAUUCUACACAAUCUACAGGACUACCAAUGUACAUUAGUUUUGAACAAAAAGUUGCUAACUUUAAAUAAUUGAUUAACUCAUUUUGAUAUUUAUGUAUACCUUGUAAUAAAAGUGGCAUUCAUUUUACAA